ensembl:lncRNA
UGAGGUUUGUCGAGAAGGGAAAUUAUUUUACUGCUAUAGUUAAAUAAUUGUCAUCAUUACCAUUGCAUUAAUAAUAAAAUCUGGAGGUUCUUGAUUCAGGGGUAGAACAGUGUGUGUCUUUCAGAAAGGCUAAAAGUCACAGGCUGACAGGAAACAGGCUUGCAGAGAGUUUGCACAAGCAGGAAGUUAUUUUAAGCAACAGUAUGAUCAUUGCUUUAACAAUGUAACAGAUAGCUUUAAGAAGGCCUUAAGCAGUUAUGACUAUUUCAUACACAAGGCAUAUCUGUGCUUAUUAAAGAGUUGGAGCUCGGUCAAUCAAUUGGGGGUCGGAAGCUUUGUUCGGCGCGAUGUUCGGACAAUCUAUUGUGCAAGUGACUUGGAGCCAUAGAAGGAAUCGCAAUACAUGCUUACAAAACACUUAUAUCAGGUCAUUUUAUAUUAAGGUUUUAGUAGAGGUUCUUGGUUAAAACAUUUAUUUAGUAGAAGACAUACACAUAGUCUCAGUGAGCUUCUGGUCUGGUAAAAGGUCAGAAGUGCAACAGGUGACACAAAGAGCAUGUGAGGUCAACACACACACACACACACACACUUUAAAUUAGAUUUAUUUAGAGGAGAGGUUAGUUAUGUUUGGCUGUAACUGCAAAAUUGUCUUGGUAAAAGAGGAACCGUUUCUUGGUGUCUCGGCAAGAAAGAGGAACAAGACAAGAACUGAAAGGUACACAGAAAGUACCAAGCCAUGAAAAUAGAAGAUGAUUUUCUGGGUGAAAAGUCAUGAUGAUGUUGAUCU